GUUAAGGAAAAAGAAGGCUUGACUGCAAUUCUUGGAUUUUUCUCACAUGAAGAUUUUUUAGGAAAAAAGAAGUCUGACAUCAGAAAAUUAUAGUAUCAAGAUGCUUGAAUAUACAUUUCUGAAUAUCCUGAAUGUCUGAGGAACAGAAGCAAGCGAAAUAGGUCCUAUCCCACUUGUCCUGAGCCAUCCGGGAACAUUCUUAGGCUAAAAAUGAGGAAAUUGAGGCAAAUGGAGCUUAAGAGGAGUUUAAGUGAUUUCUUGCACGCCCCUUCCCCCUUUCCUCCUAGAUUUGAAAAGUUUCUUCUUUGAGAGUGACAACUGUGAUCUCAUCUUCAUAGAGGGCCCAACAGCACUGCUUCGAGCAUCUGCCCAUUGAACAGGCGGCACUCAGUCAGAGGGAGAGCCAAAGAUCAUUAAAGGUGACAGAGCAUUGAAUUUCCAGGAAGACUGCUUCCCAUCAGCAUCAAAUAUCACCUCUUCCUUUCAUGCUUCUCCUGGUAUCUGUAUUAUACAUCAUUUAUUUAAAACAGCUUUGAAAGAAGGUCACCGAGGGUUUUGGAUUGUAGGUUCACACUAAAAGUGAACCGCUACUUUUCAUUCCUAUUAUUGUCCAUUUACUGGGGGAAAAGAGUGUGGUGGGUGACCGGAGGCAAUGGCCUUAUUGGAGAGUACCAAAAAGGGCCAUGCGCCUCUGCACAAAUAAAGAUGAAGACCAUACUAUUAAGGCUCUAAAAUGGCUCUCAUUCUUGAGAGACAAAUGGUAAUUUUGUGCCUGUGUUACAUCUGCAGCCCAUCUCUUAAACUCUCAUACUAAUGCCCUCUCUAACGCAGGCAGGGACGGAUUGCCGCAGCGGGCCAGCCUUAGUGUCUGCAGCCCCGGUUUUUGGUAAUGAAUUGGAGUGAUCAGACAAUCCGAUCAAGCUUGUUUUAGCGUAAGUGGCAGCUUUAUGGGGAAGAACAAGAGGAGGUAGUGAGGGAUACAGGGAUGCAUCAUAAACCUGCAGGAUUUUUACAAGGCAAGAUAGAUGUUAAGAUAAUGAGAAUAGACUCACUUGUCAGAAGCUUUGUUGAAAAAAAAUAAAAAAAAGCUAAAGAGUUUUUUAUUAUUGUUGGUGAUGGUUUCAAGAGAGAAUGUGUGGUUAAUAUGUACAGAAAACAACAGCCCUCCUGAGCAGUUGAUAAGCCUCGAGAUGGGUAUAAAUCAAUAACCACAAUAAGCAUCUGCCUACGGUCACAAGGAAAGCCUGUGGAUAAAAUGAGAAGGAGCAACUUGAAGCACUAAGAUAUUUUCAUGCAUUAACUUUUGCAUGCCCAUCUGGAGUUUUCUCUCAUUAUCCUGGAUCUAAAUGAAGGAUCACACAGAGGAUGAGAGAAGCCAUCCAUUUGGGAUUUUACACUGGAUUUUCAUAAAACAUCCUUGUGGGGGUGAGACUUGGGAAAUAGGGCAAAAGGUAAAAAGUUGCAUCAUUAAAAUCCGCUUGAAAGAAAGAGGCAGAGAGCAGAAAUAAAUGACUGAUGCUUAGAAUAGAAAGAGGUUAAUGGUGGGGUGGCCCCUGAGUCCAAUUUUAGAGCUGAUAAUGUUCAAUGAAUUUAUUAACCUGGGAGAAGGAGUGGUUAGUGAGUCGGAAAGUUUGCUAAUGUUAAGGAAGUGUUUAAGGGAAUUGAAGAUGGAGAAAAUUGGGAGGACUUCAGAAGAUUCUCAACCUGGCUUAUGUUAAUUCAACUUGGGUAAAAAAAAAAAAAAAAAAAAAAAAAAAAAGAAUGGGAAUAACGAGGGAAUAGCACAGGACUAGACCUUUGGACUCUGAACAAAGUUUCUUCCCCUUAUUUUAGGAACGCAUGGAAUACCAAAUCAUGUUUACUGAAUUCUGGGAUAUCCUAAGAGGGAGUAGUCCAAGCUGCUUGUGUCCAUCAAUGAGUUAUAAAUGCAGUUUCCUAUCUAGAGGAAAAGAUCAGAAGUGUGGAGUUGUGACCAUCUAAAACUUACAAGUCUUUCUAAAAUAUAUUAGAUUAAUUUGUGGCAGUCAAUCUCACUUCAGGUAUUCUGAUAUUGGUAUCCUUCUCUUUUCCUGCCCUUCUCUGGAAAUGUUUAUAAACCAUACUUGUAUGUUCUGUUUGUCCCAGUGGACCUUCCUACUCAUAACUAGUAACUCCUUGCCUGGGACAUAAGAGGUGAAAACCUAAUCAGAUUUCCCUGAAGGAGAACCUUCUUUCUUCCUAUAAUACUCAGGACUUCCAGUAUGCCCAGUGAGAUUGAUACCUUCAUAUAAAGGUAGUUAUUAACCUGGUAUCCCAUCCCAGACUUAUUGGAAAAAGUAUCAAGGAGUUUAUUUAGGAGCUUGUCAGAAUUGGGCGUGUCAAGACCAUUACUGACACUCUUCCUCUUAUGUUUAAAGAUGAUUCUACCUCAGGUCUCAGAAAAAAUCCUGAUUGUAACUUUAUUUUGUUGCCUUCCCUCAGGGGCCUACACUCAAGUGUUUCAUUUGCGGCCUUGAGCCUCUAUUUGUAUGAGCUAAAGAAAUCCAUAUUAAAUGACCUAUUCCUUUAUGCAA